UACAGAGGUCUCAAGCGUUGUUCGGAUUCAUUGGGCGUAAAGGGUGCGUAGGCGGCGCGGUAAGUCGGGUGUGAAAUCUCGGAGCUUAACUCCGAAACUGCAUUCGAUACUGCCGUGCUUGAGGACUGGAGAGGAGACUGGAAUUUACGGUGUAGCGGUGAAAUGCGUAGAUAUCAUAAGGAAGACCAGUGGCGAAGGCGGGUCUCUGGACAGUGCCUGGCGCUGAGGCACGAAGGUCAGGGGAGCAAACGGG
rnacentral:rRNA from 1 species